rnacentral:rRNA from 1 species
AACUUUCAACAACGGAUCUCUUGGUUCUGGCAUCGAUGAAGAACGCAGCGAAAUGCGAUAAGUAAUGUGAAUUGCAGAAUCCAGUGAACCAUCGAAUCUUUGAACGCACAUUGCGCCCGCCAGCACUCUGGCGGGCAUGCCUGUCCGAGCGUCAUC